AUACUGACCUGGUGGGGGAGAGACCAUGAUCAUGAAGGUGGUUUUCCCGGGGUGAGGCUUGUCCAUUGCACUCCGGAUGUGCUGACCCCUGCGAUUUCCCCAAAUGUGGGAAACUCGACUGCAUAAUUUGUGGUAGUGGGGAAUUACAUUCGCACUCUCCCCUA
rfam:Myotis lucifugus cont2.20435, whole genome shotgun sequence.